CAAGGAAAUCAAAAAGGAAACAACGUGGUAAAGGUGGACAUAUUGGUAAAGUAAACAAGCUUAUGAUUUUUGAUAGUUCAGGGGUGAGAGAAGAUAAUCUCUUACAUGGGACUUAUCAUGGAAUAUCUUGUUUGCGUUACUAUAUCUACAGAGGUCAUUUGAUGAUACCCAUAGGUUGUACACAAAGUCAAUUGGAAAAAAAAUUAAUAUUUGAUAAUAAUACACAUGUUCUUUUUUCUUAUUAUUAUUUUUUUUUUUUGCAGUAAUUUUUUGUUACUAUUCUUAAUGUGCUAUGAAUUGGGCUUUUGGCGGGUUAUUAUUUGGAAAAGUACCUUGCCAUGCCAAAUUUGUAAUUCUAAGUUAUUUUGACUGGACUUAACUCAUUGAUGCAAGUUUUGUUAUAAAAAAACAACUAUUUGAAUGCCCAAACCCCUUUGGAAUAAUUUGUAAAACUGUUAUUGAAAUUUGAUAGAGGUCCUUGCAUGUAUAAAUGGGUGGUGAUUUCGGGUUUGUGUUUCUGAUGCUAGAUAAUCAUGAUUGAUAAGAUUUAGUGGAUACCCUUUUUUGUUGGUAUAUGAUUGGCUUCUUAGGCUGUAAAAUAUAAUUGACACCUUGUCAUCUUUCUUUUUUUUAAACAGGCUUAUCAUCUAUUUAUUAAUAUACGGUUUGCUACUUCCCUUUUAAGAUUGGUAUAGUUAGUUUACAUAAAUAGUUCAGGCAUGUUGUCCUAAAUUAAUUGGGAAGUAUUGACCUCUUUGAGGGCUCAUUUUAACUAAAAUCUUAACUGGAACUUGUUCACUUUCUUUCAGUUUUUCAUAAAUUUUAGGUAGCAUAAUAUCUCUGUUUUUUUUUAAUUCCAUUUGCAGCUUAAAAGUCAUCCUGCAAGAUCACAGAGAAAGUGAAUGAUAAGUGGGAGGUUUGUGUGAGCCUUAGUGAUGGGCAAUUUCAACAGUUUAGCUUUGUAAAUUCGAUUGCCACAAUCAAGGGUGGAACUCAUGUAGAUCACGUCACAAGUCAGAUCACUAAUCAUUACUUUCUGUAUCUUUGUUUAUGUUUUACCUUUUAAACUUGCAGUGGCAAAGUCUGGCAUUUUGGAUAGUCUUCUUUCCUGGGCCAACUUCAAGCAGAACAAGGAUCUUAAGAAAACAGAUGGAGCUAAGACAGAAAGGGUUCACAAUAUCAAUAAGCUGGAGGAUCAGGUAUAUUGAGAUGAUUUCUUUGGAGCAAUUCUUGACAAUAUUUGUAGUUGAGGCCUUUAGAAUGGAAGAAUGUAUUUCACUAAUUUUUUUAUACAUUUUUUGUUUUGUAUUUAGUGAUAAAUGAAUCUGAAUUAGACAUAAAUUAUGUUGUAAUAUGAUUUCUUAAGCCUAGACUAGUAGACUAAAUAUUGUAA